UUCUAGAUGCCAAUUAGAUCCCUUUUAACUUUUACUAUUUAUUAAUUUUUUUUUUUUCUAAGAAAUAGGUAGCACGCUAUCCGCUCCGUUUAUUUCAUUUAAAAAUAAACUUAGCUGAAAAUAUGAAUCAACUAAAAGAUUCGAACUUAGAUCUCGGAUAUCAACCACCAAGCUUUUUGCCACGGUCGGUAAUAUUAUUAUUAUUUUGGUUAAUAUUUUGUUAUUUAUUAUAUUUC
rnacentral:lncRNA from 1 species